UUAAGCGACUAAGCGUACACGGUGGAUGCCCUGGCAGUCAGAGGCGAUGAAGGACGUGCUAAUCUGCGAUAAGCGUCGGUAAGGUGAUAUGAACCGUUAUAACCGGCGAUUUCCGAAUGGGGAAACCCAGUGUGUUUCGACACACUAUCAUUAACUGAAUCCAUAGGUUAAUGAGGCGAACCGGGGGAACUGAAACAUCUAAGUACCCCGAGGAAAAGAAAUCAACCGAGAUUCCCCCAGUAGCGGCGAGCGAACGGGGAGCAGCCCAGAGCCUGAAUCAGUGUGUGUGUUAGUGGAAGCGUCUGGAAAGGCGCGCGAUACAGGGUGACAGCCCCGUACACAAAAAUGCACAUGCUGUGAGCUCGAUGAGUAGGGCGGGACACGUGGUAUCCUGUCUGAAUAUGGGGGGACCAUCCUCCAAGGCUAAAUACUCCUGACUGACCGAUAGUGAACCAGUACCGUGAGGGAAAGGCGAAAAGAACCCCGGCGAGGGGAGUGAAAAAGAACCUGAAACCGUGUACGUACAAGCAGUGGGAGCACGCUUAGGCGUGUGACUGCGUACCUUUUGUAUAAUGGGUCAGCGACUUAUAUUCUGUAGCAAGGUUAACCGAAUAGGGGAGCCGAAGGGAAACCGAGUCUUAACUGGGCGUUAAGUUGCAGGGUAUAGACCCGAAACCCGGUGAUCUAGCCAUGGGCAGGUUGAAGGUUGGGUAACACUAACUGGAGGACCGAACCGACUAAUGUUGAAAAAUUAGCGGAUGACUUGUGGCUGGGGGUGAAAGGCCAAUCAAACCGGGAGAUAGCUGGUUCUCCCCGAAAGCUAUUUAGGUAGCGCCUCGUGAAUUCAUCUCCGGGGGUAGAGCACUGUUUCGGCAAGGGGGUCAUCCCGACUUACCAACCCGAUGCAAACUGCGAAUACCGGAGAAUGUUAUCACGGGAGACACACGGCGGGUGCUAACGUCCGUCGUGAAGAGGGAAACAACCCAGACCGCCAGCUAAGGUCCCAAAGUCAUGGUUAAGUGGGAAACGAUGUGGGAAGGCCCAGACAGCCAGGAUGUUGGCUUAGAAGCAGCCAUCAUUUAAAGAAAGCGUAAUAGCUCACUGGUCGAGUCGGCCUGCGCGGAAGAUGUAACGGGGCUAAACCAUGCACCGAAGCUGCGGCAGCGACGCUUAUGCGUUGUUGGGUAGGGGAGCGUUCUGUAAGCCUGCGAAGGUGUGCUGUGAGGCAUGCUGGAGGUAUCAGAAGUGCGAAUGCUGACAUAAGUAACGAUAAAGCGGGUGAAAAGCCCGCUCGCCGGAAGACCAAGGGUUCCUGUCCAACGUUAAUCGGGGCAGGGUGAGUCGACCCCUAAGGCGAGGCCGAAAGGCGUAGUCGAUGGGAAACAGGUUAAUAUUCCUGUACUUGGUGUUACUGCGAAGGGGGGACGGAGAAGGCUAUGUUGGCCGGGCGACGGUUGUCCCGGUUUAAGCGUGUAGGCUGGUUUUCCAGGCAAAUCCGGAAAAUCAAGGCUGAGGCGUGAUGACGAGGCACUACGGUGCUGAAGCAACAAAUGCCCUGCUUCCAGGAAAAGCCUCUAAGCAUCAGGUAACAUCAAAUCGUACCCCAAACCGACACAGGUGGUCAGGUAGAGAAUACCAAGGCGCUUGAGAGAACUCGGGUGAAGGAACUAGGCAAAAUGGUGCCGUAACUUCGGGAGAAGGCACGCUGAUAUGUAGGUGAGGUCCCUCGCGGAUGGAGCUGAAAUCAGUCGAAGAUACCAGCUGGCUGCAACUGUUUAUUAAAAACACAGCACUGUGCAAACACGAAAGUGGACGUAUACGGUGUGACGCCUGCCCGGUGCCGGAAGGUUAAUUGAUGGGGUUAGCGCAAGCGAAGCUCUUGAUCGAAGCCCCGGUAAACGGCGGCCGUAACUAUAACGGUCCUAAGGUAGCGAAAUUCCUUGUCGGGUAAGUUCCGACCUGCACGAAUGGCGUAAUGAUGGCCAGGCUGUCUCCACCCGAGACUCAGUGAAAUUGAACUCGCUGUGAAGAUGCAGUGUACCCGCGGCAAGACGGAAAGACCCGUGAACCUUUACUAUAGCUUGACACUGAACAUUGAGCCUUGAUGUGUAGGAUAGGUGGGAGGCUUUGAAGUGUGGACGCCAGUCUGCAUGGAGCCGACCUUGAAAUACCACCCUUUAAUGUUUGAUGUUCUAACGUUGACCCGUAAUCCGGGUUGCGGACAGUGUCUGGUGGGUAGUUUGACUGGGGCGGUCUCCUCCUAAAGAGUAACGGAGGAGCACGAAGGUUGGCUAAUCCUGGUCGGACAUCAGGAGGUUAGUGCAAUGGCAUAAGCCAGCUUGACUGCGAGCGUGACGGCGCGAGCAGGUGCGAAAGCAGGUCAUAGUGAUCCGGUGGUUCUGAAUGGAAGGGCCAUCGCUCAACGGAUAAAAGGUACUCCGGGGAUAACAGGCUGAUACCGCCCAAGAGUUCAUAUCGACGGCGGUGUUUGGCACCUCGAUGUCGGCUCAUCACAUCCUGGGGCUGAAGUAGGUCCCAAGGGUAUGGCUGUUCGCCAUUUAAAGUGGUACGCGAGCUGGGUUUAGAACGUCGUGAGACAGUUCGGUCCCUAUCUGCCGUGGGCGCUGGAGAACUGAGGGGGGCUGCUCCUAGUACGAGAGGACCGGAGUGGACGCAUCACUGGUGUUCGGGUUGUCAUGCCAAUGGCACUGCCCGGUAGCUAAAUGCGGAAGAGAUAAGUGCUGAAAGCAUCUAAGCACGAAACUUGCCCCGAGAUGAGUUCUCCCUGACCCUUUAAGGGUCCUGAAGGAACGUUGAAGACGACGACGUUGAUAGGCCGGGUGUGUAAGCGCAGCGAUGCGUUGAGCUAACCGGUACUAAUGAACCGUGAGGCUUAACCUU
rnacentral:rRNA from 1 species